rnacentral:lncRNA from 1 species
GGAUUCCCGUGUUUCUCGGCUUCCCAGCGCAGGCCAAAUCCGAGUCGCUAACGAAGCUCGGUAAUUUGCGGAAGCCGAAAGCUGUCGUUCACGCGCCUUGAGACGCUAAACCGCUGGCCACGACAGUUGAUAAAAAUGAAAGACCCGUUUCCUUGCAAAAUGCUUUCCCGGGAUGAUUUUCUGAUUUCCUUUUCCUCCGGUGCCGCUUCAGGGGGAGCUGGGCUUGCCUGGUGCGCCGGGACUCGACGGCGAGCAGGGUCCCAAAGGAGCUAAGGGCGACCAAGGAAAUGCCGGGAUAAUGGGACAGAAAGGCGAGACGGGAGAAACGGGCUUAUCUGGUCCACCGGGAGCCGAUGGACCAAAAGGAGAAAAAGGAGAAACUGGAUCCCCGUGUUUGCAGAAUAACCACAUCAUCCCUGAGCCGGGACCCCCCGGACUGCCCGGCCCCAUGGUAGGAGUCUGCAAAGCGGCGUGUAAAAGGGCAAAGAACCGUAAAUUCAUUACUGUGUUUGGUUCGAAGGAGGCCGAGG